rnacentral:rRNA from 1 species
CACCAGACUCCUACGGGAGGCAGCAGUGGGGAAUAUUGCACAAUGGGGGAAACCCUGAUGCAGCGACGCCGCGUGAGCGAUGAAGUAUUUCGGUAUGUAAAGCUCUAUCAGCAGGGAAGAAAAUGACGGUACCUGACUAAGAAGCCCCGGCUAACUACGUGCCAGCAGCCGCGGUAAUACGUAGGGGGCAAGCGUUAUCCGGAUUUACUGGGUGUAAAGGGAGCGUAGACGGCUGUGCAAGCCAGAUGUGAAAGCCCGGGGCUCAACCCCGGGACUGCAUUUGGAACUGUGUGGCUGGAGUGUCGGAGAGGCAGGCGGAAUUCCUAGUGUAGCGGUGAAAUGCGUAGAUAUUAGGAGGAACACCAGUGGCGAAGGCGGCCUGCUGGACGAUGACUGACGUUGAGGCUCGAAAGCGUGGGGAGCAAACAGGAUUAGAUACCCCUGUAAG